rnacentral:rRNA from 1 species
AAUUUUCCGCAAUGGGCGAAAGCCUGACGGAGCAAUACCGCGUGAGGGAGGAAUGCCUUUGGGUUGUAAACCUCUUUUCUCAGGGAAGAAGAUCUGACGGUACCUGAGGAAUAAGUAUCGGCUAACUCCGUGCCAGCAGCCGCGGUAAUACGGAGGAUGCAAGCGUUAUCCGGAAUCAUUGGGCGUAAAGCGUCCGCAGGUGGUUUCCAAAGUCUGCUGUUAAAGACUGGAGCUCAACUCCGGAACGGCGGUGGAAACUUGGAAACUAGAGUUCGGUAGGGGUAGCAGGAAUUCCCAGUGUAGCGGUGAAAUGCGUAGAUAUUGGGAAGAACAUCGGUGGCGAAGGCGUGCUACUGGACCGUAACUGACACUCAGGGACGAAAGCUAGGGGAGCGAAAGGGAUUAGAUACCCCUGUAGUCCUAGCUGUAAACGAUG